UCUGCUGAGGCUAAGCUGAAGAAAAACAGAUGCAGCAAUUGCUUUGACUGUCCCAGUUGUGGCCACACCCUGACAACUCGUGCCACUAGCACCAGUGUUCCUGACCCAGAGGACCCCAACAAGACCACGCCCAAGAAGAUGUACUACAUGGUGUGUGGGUUCUGUCGGUGGACAACCAGAGACGUCGGAAUCCAGGACAAACCAGUAGCCAGUGGAGGAUGGGAAGACUUGGAGAACAAGGACACAAAGCAGAUUUUUUCCUUGCUUGAAACCUAUGAAAAAAUUGCACAAAAGGAAAAGGCAGAGAAAGAGAGGAAGAAAUAUGUCAGAAGAAGGAGCUACCUAAGUUAUGCUGCUGGUAUGGAUAAAUAUGGAAUGGUCUCUGUCGCUGCCAAGAGAAAGCAAGGCAAUCUAGCAAAUCUCAGCAUUAAGGAAAAUGAGGAAGUAAGCUUUUCUAUGGUUAAGCCAUCAGAAACUGUCAAAACAUUUGAUCCCCUCCCAGAAAGCAUAUUUACCGAGCCAAUCCAGCUAGAUAAGAUGAGCACCAUUAGCCAGAGACACGCCUCUGCCGACUUUCAGCCCGGUGAGAGCAGUGCCCUCUAUCCUUUACACAAGCACCUGCUUAUCAGAAGAUCCCUAAGGUGCAAGGAAUGUGAGCACAAUUUGAGCAAACCAGAGUUCAACCCAAUCUCCAUCAAGUUCAAGAUUCAACUUAUUGCCUUGCACCACAUUCCUGAAAUAAAGAUUUUCUCACUACCAGAGCUGAAUUUAAAGAAGGAGUGUAAGGUAGUCCUGACACUGACCAACCCCAGUGCUUACAACUGUAGUAUCUCCUUCCUACAGCCGGACCCCAAGGAAGACAACUUCAGCAAUGCAAAGGUGGAGUUACCAAAGCAUCCCAUUGUUGUCGCCCAGAGAGAUGACGCUGCUUUGUAUGAUGAUGGAAGUCAAGGUCACGAAGCCUUUAAGGAUGACCCAAGUGUCAUAGCUUACAGAAAGUCCAACAAAGUGGGAUUUUUUAUGAAGGUUAAACCUCAAAAUCCAGAUGAAGAUGUCAAGUUGUCCUUCUUGUUGAAGCAUGAGUACAGGAACACAGCCAUAGCUCUCCCCAGUGAAAACCAAGAGCCACAGAUCGCCUCACUCCAGCACCAGGUCUUCAUCAACCUCGGGCCACCCAAAAAGAAGUGAACAAUCCCCCCCCCCCCCCCUCCCCCCUCCCCCAAUACUGUGGCUGUUGUACCACGUACCAACAAUAUAGAUAACAUUGUGCAAUAUGUUGUGAAUGUACAUUUUAUGAAUAUAGUAGAUGAUUCCAGAGGCUUAUAACAUUAACUCUUGGUUGCCAUGCUUUGGCUUCGGUUUUCUUCCAGGUAGAAUGAUAAUGGAGGCAUGAUUCUGUUUCAUUGUCUGAUGUCAGAAUGUGUAUUUAUAAUUGUAAUGGUUUUGGUUCCACUGCUAAUAAACAAAGAGAUUAGU
rnacentral:misc_RNA from 1 species